rnacentral:rRNA from 1 species
UACAGAGGUCCCGAGCGUUGUUCGGAUUCAUUGGGCGUAAAGGGUGCGUAGGUGGCGUGGUAAGUCGGGUGUGAAAUUUCGGAGCUUAACUCCGAAACUGCAUUCGAUACUGCCGUGCUUGAGGACUGGAGAGGAGACUGGAAUUUACGGUGUAGCAGUGAAAUGCGUAGAGAUCGUAAGGAAGACCAGUGGCGAAGGCGGGUCUCUGGACAGUUCCUGACACUGAGGCACGAAGGCCAGGGGAGCAAACGGG